rnacentral:rRNA from 1 species
GAGGUAGAUAGGUUCGAGGUGGAAGCGUGGCGACACGUGCAGCUGACGAAUACUAAUCGAUCGAGGACUUAACCAAUU